rnacentral:tRNA from 1 species
GAACCUACGGCUUAGGGGUCAGAACGCUUGGACGGUUUCCAAGAGGCGCGGGUUGAAAUCCCUCUAAGUUCA